CACGUAGGGGGCAAGCGUUGUCCGGAUUUAUUGGGCGUAAAGAGCUCGUAGGUGGUUCGGUAAGUCGGGUGUUAAACCCCCAGGCUCAACCUGGGGACGCCACUCGAUACUGCUGUGACUAGAGUCCGGUAGGGGAGCGUGGAAUUCCUGGUGUAGCGGUGAAAUGCGCAGAUAUCAGGAGGAACACCAGCGGCGAAGGCGGCGCUCUGGGCCGGUACUGACGCUGAGGCGCGAAAGCGUGGGGAGCAAACAGG
rnacentral:rRNA from 1 species